rnacentral:rRNA from 1 species
GAUGAACGCUGGCGGCGUGCCUAAUACAUGCAAGUCGAGCGAACAGACGAGGAGCUUGCUCCUCUGACGUUAGCGGCGGACGGGUGAGUAACACGUGGAUAACCUACCUAUAAGACUUGGAUAACGUCGGGAAACCGGAGCUAAUACCGGAUAAUAUAUUGAACCGCAUGGUUCGAUAGUGAAUGACGGUUUUGCUGUCACUGAGAGAUGUAUCCGCGCCGCAUUAGUUAGUUGGUAAGGUAACGGCUUACCAAGGCGACGAUGGGUAGCCGACCUGGGAGGGUGAUGGGCCCCACUGGAACUGAGACACGGUCCAGACUCCUAGGGGAGGCAGCAGUAGGGACUCUUCCGCAAUGGGCGAAAGCCUGACGGAGCGACGCCGCGUGAGUGAUGAAGGUCUUCGGAUCGUAAAACUCUGUUAUGAGGGAAGACCACAUGUGUAAGUAACUAUGCACGUCUUGACGGUACCUAAUCAGAAAGCCCCGGCUAACUACGUG